rnacentral:tRNA from 1 species
CCGUAGCUCAGUCGGAUAGAGCACCAGAUUCCUAAUCUGGGGGCCGCAGGUUCAAAUCCUGCCGGGC